rnacentral:rRNA from 1 species
GACAGAGGGUGCAAGCGUUGUUCGGAAUCAUUGGGCGUAAAGCGCGCGUAGGUGGCUUCGUAAGUUGAAUGUGAAAACCCAGGGCUCAACCUUGGAAGUGCAUUCAAAACUGUGAAGCUUGAGUCCUGGAGAGGGUGGUGGAAUUCCCAGUGUAGAGGUGAAAUUCGUAGAUAUUGGGAGGAACACCAGAGGCGAAGGCGACCACCUGGACAGAGACUGACACUGAGGCGCGAAAGCGUGGGUAGCAAACAGG